rnacentral:rRNA from 1 species
UACGUAGGGUGCAAGCGUUGUCCGGAUUCACUGGGCGUAAAGGGUGCGUAGGUGGUGAGGUAAGUCGGAUGUGAAAUCUCCGGGCUCAACCCGGAAAUGGCAUUGGAAACUACCUUGCUUGAGGGUUUGAGGGGGGAUUGGAAUACUUGGUGUAGCAGUGAAAUGCGUAGAGAUGUGGAGGAACACCGAUGGCGAAGGCAGCCCCCUGGGUCAAGAUUGACGCUCAUGCACGAAAGCGUGGGGAGCAAACAGG